rnacentral:lncRNA from 1 species
GAUUUUUUUGGUAAAAGCAGAUCCUUUUGAUUUUAUUAUUUAGUUUUUAGCAUAUACUAUGAUUUUAAAGGUUAUUUUUACUCAGGUCCAUAGAGGUCAGUUUGUUCAACAGCCUUUGAGAGGAUUAGCACUAGUUAAUUUGACUGUUACUAUCUCUCCUACCUUUAUCUAUCUCUAGGUUUUGAAAUCUAGUCCUUUUCCAUUAUACAUUUAGCAUCUGCCCAAACACACCCUUUUCCCACUACAAGAAAGUGAAAUAGUACUCACAAAUAUUCUUAAACAUGCCCUUCCCACCUUCUUCCCAGAAUUCACAUGCUUUCAAAAAGAGACAGUAAUUCAACCACAUCAAAAUACCUUUGCCUUUAUAGUUUCUAAGAUUUGUCUUUCUUAAAAGCAUAGAUAGGGCUGGGGAUGGAGCUCAGUGGUACAGCACUUGCCUAGAAUGCACAAGGCCGAGAGGUCAAUCUUCAGCACCAGAAAAAAAAAAAUCAUAGAUUGCACUUUUAUUAAAAACAUUAUAUAUUUAAACCAGAAGUCACAUCAUGUUUGAAAAUGCCUCCCAGAUUGUAGGUAGAGAUGUUUAUUAUGUGGAAUUCUCAUACUUAGUUACCUUUUACCAAUGAGGCUACAUAGAAGGGACAACUCCUAGGGAAUGAAAGCAGAAAAGAAAUUUGCCAUGGUCUCUGUUGAGAGUUCCUCCAUUAUCACCAGGAUUCUCCAACCUUCUCUGGUUUAACAAAAAUAAACUCACCACUAGGAACAUCUUUUGUGAUAAAGUAAGGUCAGAAGAUGUAAAGAUACGGCCUAGUUAAUUAGAAGCCUCUGAAACAGCAGUACCCAACCUUUAUGGCACCAGUGACCAGUUUCCUGGAAGAUAAUUUUCCAUGGAUUGGGAGGGGGUGAGGUGGAGGCUUGAGUUGAGCCCAUUACAUUUAUUGUGCAGUUAAUUUUUAUUAUUACAUUUAUUACAUUGUAAUAGAUAAUGAAAUAAUUAUACAACUCAUCAUAAUGCAGAAUCAGUGGGAGCCCUGAGCUUUUGUUCUUGCAACUAGUUGGUCCCAUCUGGGAGUGAUGGGAGACAAUGUUGGCUGAAAUAUAUUCUUCAUAUCUUAUCUACUCCAUAAUCUUGUUGUGAUUGCUGUUACAGCAGAAAAUCCUGCUUCACAAAGAUAGGAUGUUGGAAAUGGAGGCAGGCUUUUCUGUGAUUUUGUGACAAUUUUAGGAUAUUCUGUCUUGAUUUUAAUCCUGAAUAUAUGGAGAUUUGAAGUUGUCACAAGCAUAUUUUUGAGACUACUCAAAAAUACUAUUGCAAUUACUUCCAUCUUAAACAGUUGAUCCUCUUCUAGCACAGACAAAUUGAUUCACCUGACUUAUUCACAAAUGAGUGGUAGAUGUAUUCCUUCUCAGUUUGGAGGACUUUUUGUUUCUGGGAAUAAUGCUGAGAUAGAUAUAUGGAAUAAUCCUGAAAGCUGAGAUAGAUGAUCAUGCUCUAGCUGAGAAAAAUAAGUUUUCAGCUUAGCCUCUUUAAAAAUCUUUGUUAAUGUUUGGAAUAUGUCAAAAGUCUCAAUAUUCACUUAUUAGCCUCAUAAUUCCAGUUUGGUUUAUAGUGUAACCACCUUAUCUGCCAAUUUGAACACAGUUGUUGUUCUUCACUAAAGUAAUAGAUUAAACACAUUGAAUAUGUCACACAAGUAAGUAAGGUGUCAGUGAAAUAUGCUGCCAGUGGUGACUGUUUUUCUAAAAGAAAUCUCUAGAGUGGCUCUUGUAAUUCAAAAACUCUGGCUAGUAAUCUACCACUAGAAAGACAUCUACUUGUGUGCAUAAGAGAAGAUACGUUUACUCUGGAUCCAUCCUUUCACAGAGCUGAAUAAAGAGACAUGAGUUAAUAGCAUACACUUUAUUGUGGUAGAUAAUUUUAGUCAUAUCCUGUAAACUUUUGUUAUGUUCAGGUGACAUUUUUUUUCCAGCUAGCCAGCAUUUCUCUAUGGAUGACAUAGUGCAUAGAUUCAUUCAGAAGCAACUUCUUUUACCCAAAUAGUGAAACCAGCAAGCUAUCCAUUCAUGGCAACCACUCUGUACAUGCAUAUAUCAACACAAAACGACCAAUUCAGUUUUCCUGAUAUGUAAUCAUUCAAAAACUUGAAUAGUUCUGCAGCUGUGGUUUUCUUUGGCAAUGAAUGUAUACAUUACAUAUCCUUAUACACAUCCUCCUGAAAAAUAUAUUACCUCCAAACAAGCCUUGUUGCCUGUUGUCAACAUGGGUAGACUCAUGAAUAUGAGUUCCAUACCAUGGGGUCUCACUUCUAUCUAAAAAUUGUUCUUCAAUAUCCUCUGCUAUUUCAUCAGAUCAUCUAGUUAUGGUGCUAGCUGAAAGAGGAAUACACACCACCUUUUGAACUAGAAGUUUUUAAAAAUCACAACAAAUGUCUUUAGCAGCAGGUAAGUUGAAUUCUUUACCAACAGUAAAGGGCUUCUUAGUUUUAGCAAGGCAGCUAGCCACUAAUAAUGAUACUCUCAGUAUGUACACAUUUGAUGAAGUGGUGGUCAUUAAUAAUUACUUCUGUUCUUUGUGUUUAUGUUUUUUCUUUUGAAAAACUCCAAAGGCUUGUCUUUUAAUGCAGAAUGCUUUGUCUCCAAGUGGCAUUUUGGCUUUAUCUGAUCACAUAUUAUGCAAAGUGGACUUAGAGAAUGUGAAUCAUGAACCCCUAAUUUAAGUAAAAUUCAACAUUUUCUUUUAAUUUCACCUCUCUUUGCUGGCAAUCUUAGAUUCUUCUGCUGUCUUAUCAAUGGGUCUAUCUCCUUUUCAAAGAAGCUUUCUAGUGACACUUUUACUUCACUCAUUUUGGUUGGGAUUAGCUUGAGGGCUUAUAAAAACUGAGGCCAAAACAAGUGUGCAGUGCACAAAAGAGGUGUGGACAGAAGUAGUAAAUAAAAUAAUUAGCCAGCCAUGCACAGGCUAAAACACGUGUCAGAUUCUAACUUAAAUCCUGCACCAGAUCCAGCUGUACAAUUGAAGUAUAUCAGUUCAUUUGCCAUUAUAAAACCUGCCUCCAGAUGUGGUUUGUCACUCACUGAUAGAGUUUUGAUAUGAAUCUGAAAGCAACUGAUUUAUUAUGGUCUCUGUGCAGUCAAAUGUCUCUGCUAAUGUUAAUGUAUUUGCAGCUGCUCCCCAGUACUAGCAUCACUACCUCAGCUCCACCUCAGGUCACCAGGCAUUAGAUUCCCAUAGGGAGCUUGCACCUAGAUCCUUCACAUGUGCAAGUCAUAGUGGGGUUCCUGCUCCUAUAAGAGUCUUAAUUCCACUGCUGUUCUGACAGGAGGCAGUGCUCAGGCCAUAAUGUGAGCUAGAAGGAGCUGCUAUAAGCACAGAUGAAGCUUUGCAUGCUGGCUUGCCAGUCAUGUUCUGACUGAGCAGCCCAGACAGACCCAACCCCUUCCAGUAUUUGUCCAUGGUCCAGAGCUUGGGGACCCCAGCUCUAAAACCAAUCAGUUUCAUUUUGUAAAUUCACCUUGGGCUGCUCUCCCUGUUUGCUAUGUGUCCACACAUAAGACCUCACUUCCCUUUGCCUCAGAGUACCUCACAAAAGCUUUCCUAGUCUCUUUAGUACUUGUCAUUCCUUUAACAAGAGUGACAAUGAUGUUCAUGGAGGGUGUUAACAUAAAACCAGGACAGUCUUCUUACUGUUCCUCCAUUCCAAGAGGCCAUUCUUCCUGAAAUAAGGAGAAAUAAAGAAGUAAAAAGAGCCAAAGAUAUUCUGGUAACAGGUAAAGGAAGACAUGAAUUUAAUACUUCCUUCCUUCAGGGUACCCUGCACUGUGCUGGGAUUUGUUCAUGUGUUAUUCUCAGCACAGCACUGCUCGCAACAUAACCCAUCACCUUUAUCCCAUAUUUUAUAUAAAAUAACUGAAAAUCAGAGAAAUUAAAUGUCCAAGGUCACACAGUUAUUAGUGCCAUAGCCUUGGUUUUUCCAUUAUGCUCUAUCUCCUUUCACUGAAGACCAAAAUCUGUUAUUUAAUGAUUGGAAAGAAGGCAAUAAGGAAAUAGUGGUUAUAAACCCUAAAUUUUUAAAUAGUCUAUCAUCUUUAAUAUUUCUGCCCUCAAAUCACACAGCAAUUUAAAGCAGCUUUUGCCUCUUUCUUAAGUACCGUAUGGAAGUUCUGAGAGACCAGUAUAUGUUCAGUCAACUAAAUUUUGGAUGACAUUUAGGCAGCACCACAAGCCUCUGGCAGCUCAAGACACUCAAUUCAAUGGUUAUAGGAUCUCUUGCAGAUAGCUCCCUAAGUUCAUGAGUUUUGGUGAGUCUACUCUCAUCCUCUAUGUUCCUUAGCUCUCUUAUGAGAACAAAUCUUGUGCAUUGGUUUGCUCAAGGCAAACAAAUAGGAAACAAUGAGGUCAUAUUAAACCUAGUUUCAAAUGAGAAACAUGUUGGUUGCUGGUGCCUUGAGAAAUAUGGUAUUCUUCAGAAAAUAUUGCUGCAGAAAAUAUGCGGUUGCAUUUGAGGGGGACAUUUGAACUGUGUUUUGUUUCACGAUUUGUUUUCUGUAACCACUGAUGCUGCCCCAAGUAUCAUCUUACAAUCAGACCACUUGGUGAUUAUAAUAUUUUCUAGUUAAAUGACAUUUAAGGCCUCAUUUUAUGAGCUCCAGCAUAAUUGGCUAAUUUGGUAAACUCUAUGGGG